UACCGGCGGCUCGAGUGGUGGCCACUAUUACUGGGCUUAAAGCGUUCGUAGCUGGUUUGUUAAGUCUCUGGGGAAAUCUGCCGGCUCAACCGGCAGGCGUUCCAGGGAUACUGGCAGACUAGGGACCGGGAGAGGUGAGGGGUACUCCAGGGGUAGGAGUGAAAUCCUGUAAUCCUUGGGGGACCACCUGUGGCGAAGGCGCCUCACCAGAACGGCUCCGACAGUGAGGGACGAAAGCUGGGGGAGCAAACCGGAUUAGAUACCCGGGUAGUCCCAGCCGUAAACGAUGCGCGUUAGGUGUAUCGGUGACCACGAGUCACCGAGGUGCCGAAGAGAAAUCGUGAAACGUGCCGCCUGGGAAGUACGGUCGCAAGGCUGAA
rnacentral:rRNA from 1 species